UGCAUAUUCUUUAGGGCCUUAUCUUAAAGAGUGCAUGGCCAUCACGUGCUCGAUCUGGAUGCUGGAUUUGGGACGUGAUAGAGUGGUAUCAGAGCCUAUGUUUAAGGUCAUUAGAAACUGUGAUAUAAGUGAUAUCAAAACUUUUGAUUAUAAUCAAUAGAGUAUGAUAGGUAAUAUCAGAACUUAGGUUAAAGAUCAUAAGAACUUAGAUUAUUG
rnacentral:lncRNA from 1 species